UGGGGAAUAUUGCACAAUGGGCGCAAGCCUGAUGCAGCCAUGCCGCGUGUGUGAAGAAGGCCUUCGGGUUGUAAAGCACUUUCAGCGGGGAGGAAGGCGGUGAGGUUAAUAACCUCACCGAUUGACGUUACCCGCAGAAGAAGCACCGGCUAACUCCGUGCCAGCAGCCGCGGUAAUACGGAGGGUGCAAGCGUUAAUCGGAAUUACUGGGCGUAAAGCGCACGCAGGCGGUCUGUCAAGUCGGGUGUGAAAUCCCCGGGCUCAACCUGGGAACUGCAUUCGAAACUGGCAGGCUAGAGUCUUGUAGAGUGGGGUAGAAUUCCAAGUGUAGCGGUGAAAUGCGUAGAGAUCUGGAGGAAUACCGGUGGCGAAGGCGGCCCCCUGGACAAAGACUGACGCUCAGGUGCGAAAGCGUGGGGAGCAAACAGG
rnacentral:rRNA from 1 species